rnacentral:rRNA from 1 species
UACAGAGGGGGCAAGCGUUAUUCGGAAUUAUUGGGCGUAAAGGGCGCGUAGGCGGCUUUGCAAGUGACGGGUGAAAUCCCUCGGCUUAACCGAGGAACUGCCUGUCAGACUGCAUGGCUCGAGACCAGGAGAGGUGAGUGGAAUUCCCAGUGUAGCGGUGAAAUGCGUAGAUAUUGGGAGGAACACCAGUGGCGAAGGCGGCUCACUGGACUGGUACUGACGCUGAGGCGCGAAAGCCAGGGGAGCAAACGGG